rnacentral:rRNA from 2 species
UGGGGAAUAUUGGACAAUGGGCGCAAGCCUGAUCCAGCCAUGCCGCGUGUGUGAAGAAGGCCUUUUGGUUGUAAAGCACUUUAAGCGAGGAGGAGGCUACUCUAGUUAAUACCUAGGGAUAGUGGACGUUACUCGCAGAAUAAGCACCGGCUA